UACGGAGGGGGCUAGCGUUGUUCGGAAUUACUGGGCGUAAAGCGCACGUAGGCGGACUGCUAAGUCGGGGGUGAAAUCCUGGGGCUCAACCUCAGAAUUGCCUCCGAUACUGGCAGUCUCGAGUGCGGGAGAGGUGAGUGGAAUUCCCAGUGUAGAGGUGAAAUUCGUAGAUAUUGGGAAGAACACCAGUGGCGAAGGCGGCUCACUGGCCCGUAACUGACGCUGAGGUGCGAAAGCGUGGGGAGCGAACAGG
rnacentral:rRNA from 1 species